rnacentral:rRNA from 1 species
AAACGUAGGGGGCGAGCGUUGUCCGGAAUUACUGGGCGUAAAGGGCGUGUAGGCGGCUAGGUAAGUCAGGUGUGAAAACUUUUGGCUCAACCAGGAGACUGCACUUGAAACUGCGUAGCUUGAGGGUAGGAGAGGAAAGUGGAAUUCCUAGUGUAGCGGUGAAAUGCGUAGAUAUUAGGAGGAACACCAGUGGCGAAGGCGACUUUCUGGCCUAACCCUGACGCUGAGGCGCGAAAGCGUGGGGAGCAAACAGGAUUAGAUACCCUGGUAGUCCACGCCGUAAACGAUGGGUACUAGGUGUAGGAGGUAUCGACCCCUUCUGUGCCGCAGCAAACGCAUUAAGUACCCCGCCUGGGGAGUACGGCCGCAAGGCUGAA